UUUGCCACAGCGACUCCUGUCACUCUCACAGCCAACUUCCAUGAUCCUUCCCACAGAAGUAUCAAAGUCGAGGUGGUCGACCAAGAUCUCUGUUAUAGUGUGAAUACCUUUACCACAAAGAGUUGUAAGAUAAGCAUGAAGAAUGUGUUCAAGAUACAUUUAGAAUGCUGUGUUGUUUAUGCAUAACUAGACACCCCCCUUUCUUUUUUCUUUCUGUUCAAACAUCUACAAAAAAAUAAAAUAAAAUAAAAUAAAAAAUCAUAUUAAACAUGUUUUGUUGUAGCAGUAUCUCCCAGCUGCUUCCAAUGAGAAUCCAAUUCUUUCAAUGGCUUUAUUUCUUGCCCUUAUGCUUAAUCGUUUUUGGUAUCCAUGUUGCUUUGGUGUCCGGGGAAUGUCUGAGUGAUGGGAGCACAUGCCUGGAGGAUCAGAUGUCCUUGUUGCUGCAACUGAAGAGCACCCUCAAACACAAUGUUGCUGCAUCAAGUAAACUAGUUUCCUGGAAUCCAAGCGGGGAUUGCUGUUCUUGGGGAGGUGUAACCUGGGACUCCAGCGGUCAUGUUGUCGGACUUGAUCUGAGUAGCGAAUUGAUUUCUGGGGGGUUCAAUAGUUCCAGUAGUCUUUUCAGUCUACAACAUCUCCAGCGCUUGAAUUUGGCUAACAACAGCUUCAACGAUUCUCAAAUUCCGUCUGGAUUCGGUAAGCUUGGCAAUUUGAUUUACCUGAAUUUGUCUAGCGCUGGGUUUUCUGGGCAGAUUCCAAUUGAGAUUUCACGCUUGACGAGGUUGGUUACUAUUGAUUUCUCUAUCCUUUACUUCCUUGGACUUCCUACGCUGAAACUCGAGAACCCAAAUCUGAGAAAGCUGCUUCAGAACCUCAGAGAGCUUAGAGAACUCCAUCUUAAUGGUGUAAAUAUAUCGGCUGAGGGGAAGGAGUGGUGCCAGUCAUUAUCAUCUUCAGUGCCUAAUCUCCAAGUGCUGAGCAUGCCAAACUGUUAUCUUUCUGGCCCUCUUGAUUCUUCCUGCAGAAGCUUCGGUCUCUCUCAAGCAUUCGCCUGGACAAUAAUAACUUCUCUGCUCCUGUUCCAGAAUUCCUUGCGAAUUUCUUGAAUUUGACUCUAUUGCGGCUCAGUUCUUGUGGAUUACAUGGAACCUUUCCAGAGAAGAUCUUUCAGGUACCAACCCUACAGAUUCUUGAUUUGUCAAACGACAAGUUACUACAAGGUUCUUUGCCGAAAUUCCCUCAGAAUGGAUCUCUAGGAACCUUGGUGCUCUCGGAUACAAAAUUCUCAGGGAAAGUACCAUACUCCAUAGGCAAUCUCAAGAGGUUGACUAGAAUAGAGCUUGCAGGUUGUGAUUUCAGUGGCCCAAUCCCAAACUCGAUGGCAGACCUUACACAACUGGUCUACUUGGACUUAUCUAAUAACAAGUUUUCCGGUUCAAUCCCACCUUUUAGUUUGUCCAAGAACCUGACCCGAAUAAACCUUUCUCAUAAUUAUUUAACAGGCCCGAUUUCUUCCUCUCACUGGGAUGGCCUAGUGAAUCUAGUGACUCUUGACUUGCGAGACAAUUCACUGAAUGGAAGUCUCCCCAUGCUCCUGUUUUCCCUCCCAUCACUGCAGAAGAUACAACUGAGCAACAACAAAUUUUCUGGUCCCUUGAGUAAAUUUUCAGUUGUGCCUUUUUCUGUACUGGAGACCCUUGAUUCGAGUAGCAACAAUCUGGAAGGGCCAAUACCUGUAUCUGUCUUUGAUCUCCAUUGUCUUAACAUCCUUGAUCUUUCUUCCAACAAAUUCAAUGGCACUGUUGAACUAAGCAGCUUUCAGAAACUUGGAAAUCUUAGCACUCUUAGUCUUUCAUACAACUUCUUGUCCACCAAUGCGAGUGUUGGUAAUCCCACUUCACCUCUGCUGUCGAAUCUUACCACAUUGAAAUUGGCUUCUUGCAAACUCAGUACAUUACCUGAUCUUAGCACCCAGUCAAGAUUGACACAUUUAGACCUUUCCGAUAACCAAAUUCGCGGGAGCAUACCUAAUUGGAUUUGGAAGAUUGGUAAUGGAUCUCUUAUGCAUUUGAAUCUCUCUCAUAAUUUACUGGAGGAUCUGCAGGAAACUCUCUAAUUUUACUCCUUAUUUGUCCAUCCUUGACCUACAUUCCAACCAGCUCCAUGGCCAAAUCCCCACUCCUCCCCAAUUUUCCAAAUAUGUGGAUUACUCAAACAACAGUUUCAACUCUUCCAUCCCAGAUGAUAUUGGUACUUACAUGUCCUUCACUAUUUUCUUCUCUCUUCCGAAGAAUAACAUCACUGGAAGUAUUCCUAGAUCCAUCUGCAAUGCAACUUACCUGCAAGUUCUUGACUUCUCUGACAAUGACUUUAGUGGCGAAAUACCAUCAUGUUUAAUUCAGAAUGAGGCUCUUGCAGUGUUGAAUCUAGGGAGGAACAAGUUUGUUGGCACUAUACAUGGGGAAUUGCUGCACAAGUGUCUUUUACGGACGCUAGAUCUCAGUGAGAAUCUUUUACAAGGAAACAUUCCAGAAUCUCUAGUUAAUUGCAAAGAGUUAGAGAUUUUAAACCUUGGGAACAACCAGAUUGAUGAUAUCUUUCCUUGCUGGUUGAAGAACAUAAGCAGUUUGCGUGUCCUUGUUCUGAGAGCCAACAAAUUCCAUGGAACCAUUGGAUGUCCCAAGAGUAAUUCUACCUGGGCAACGCUUCAGAUUGUCGACCUAGCCUUCAACAAUUUCAGUGGUAAGUUGCCAGCAAAAUGCUUAUCGACCUGGACAGCAAUGAUGGCGGGUGAAAAUGAAGUCCAAUCCAAGCUCAAAAUCCUGCAAUUUAGGGUUCAACAAUUCAGUCAAUUGUACUAUCAGGAUACUGUAAGAGUUAUCAGCAAAGGUCAAGAAUGAGUUGGUGAAGAUCCUAACUCUCUUCACCUCCAUUGACUGGUCGUACAACAAUUUUGAAGGGGAGAUACCAGAAGUGAUAGGGAACUUCACAUCCCUUUAUGUUCUCAACUUAUCGCAUAAUGGUUUCACAGGCCAAAUCCAAUCGUCAAUAGGGAAUCUGCGACAACUUGAAUCAUUAGACCUCUCGCAAAACAGGCUGAGUGGAGAGAUACCUACACAGCUUGCGAACCUAAAUUUCCUUUCAGUCCUGAACCUCUCAUUCAACCAAUUGGUGGGAAGGAUCCCUACAGGUAAUCAAUUGCAAACAUUUUCACCAAAUUCCUUCGUGGGUAACAGAGGAUUAUGCGGCUUCCCCGUAAACGUAAGUUGCGAAGAUGCUACACCACCGGCGUCUGAUGACGGGCACUCAGGCUCCGGGAUGGAGAUUAAGUGGGAAUACAUAGCUCCUGAAAUUGGAUUUGUGACAGGAUUGGGAAUCGUGAUUUGGCCUCUAGUGUUGUGCAGGAGAUGGAGGAAAUGCUACUACAAACAUGUUGAUAGAAUUCUUUCAAGGAUUCUCCAAGGAAGAGCAAGUGGUGGAAGAAGAGCUCACAGAAUUCGCCUCCGGAGGCGGAGAAUGUAGCCGUGGUGCAGAGGGAUGAAGUGAUUAGUCAAGAGUCCAUUUCCAUUAAUCCAAUCCUAUGUUUCAUUGAAGGAAUAUUAAAAAGGGGUCCAUAUUAUUGGAUGGGCCUUCAAUCCGUGUGUCAAAUGUAAUUCUGGCUUGCUUCUUAUAAAUUUAAUCGAAUGCAUAAUUUUAUAUUUGGACAA